rnacentral:rRNA from 1 species
CCCACACUGGGAUGAGACACGGCCCAGACUUCUUACGGGAGCAGCAGUAGGGAAUCUUCCGCAAUGGGCGAAAGCCUGACGGACGACGCCGCGUGAGCGAAGAAGCCUUCGGGUCGUAAAGCUCUGUUGUGAGGGACGAAGGAGCGCCGUUCGAAGAGGCGGCGCGGUGACGGUACCUCACGAGAAGCCCCGGCUACUACGUGCCAGCACCGCGGUAAUACGUAGGGGGCGAGCGUUGUCCGGAAUUAUUGGGCUAAAGCGCGCGCAGGCGGUUCCUUAAGUUGAUGUGAAAGCCCACGGCUCAACCGUGGAGGGUCAUUGGAAACUGGGGGACUUGAGUGCAGGAGAGGAGAGCGGAAUUCCACGUGUAGCGGUGAAAUGCGUAGAGAUGUGGAGGAACACCAGUGGCGAAGGCGGCUCUUGGCGCACUGACGCUGAGGCGCGAAAGCGUGGGGAGCAAACAGGAUUAGAUAUCCCUGGUAGUCCACGCCGUAAACGAUGAGUGCUAAGUUUAGAGGGG